rnacentral:rRNA from 1 species
UGGGGAAUAUUGCACAAUGGGCGCAAGCCUGAUGCAGCCAUGCCGCGUGUGUGAAGAAGGCCUUCGGGUUGUAAAGCACUUUCAGCGGGGAGGAAGGCGAUAAGGUUAAUAACCUCAUCGAUUGACGUUACCCGCAGAAGAAGCACCGGCUAACUCCGUGCCAGCAGCCGCGGUAAUACGGAGGGUGCAAGCGUUAAUCGGAAUUACUGGGCGUAAAGCGCACGCAGGCGGUCUGUCAAGUCGGAUGUGAAAUCCCCGGGCUCAACCUGGGAACUGCAUUCGAAACUGGCAGGCUAGAGUCUUGUAGAGGGGGGUAGAAUUCCAGGUGUAGCGGUGAAAUGCGUAGAGAUCUGGAGGAAUACCGGUGGCGAAGGCGGCCCCCUGGACAAAGACUGACGCUCAGGUGCGAAAGCGUGGGGAGCAAACAUG